AUUGAACGCUGGCGGCAGGCUUAACACAUGCAAGUCGAGCCGAGAGAGGUAGCUUGCUACUGAUCUUAGCGGCGGACGGGUGAGUAAUGCUUAGGAAUCUGCCUAUUAGUGGGGGACAACAUUUCGAAAGGAAUGCUAAUACCGCAUACGUCCUACGGGAGAAAGCAGGGGAUCUUCGGACCUUGCGCUAAUAGAUGAGCCUAAGUCGGAUUAGCUAGUUGGUGGGGUAAAGGCCUACCAAGGCGACGAUCUGUCGCGGGUCUGAGAGGAUGAUCCGCCACACUGGGACUGAGACACGGCCCAGACUCCUACGGGAGGCAGCAGUGGGGAAUAUUGGACAAUGGGCGGAAGCCUGAUCCAGCCAUGCCGCGUGUGUGAAGAAGGCCUUCGGGUUGUAAAGCACUUUCAGUAGGGAGGAAGGGUUAAGUGUUAAUAGUACUUAACUUUGACGUUACCUACAGAAGAAGCACCGGCUAACUCUGUGCCAGCCGCCGCCGUAAAAC
rnacentral:rRNA from 1 species